ACGGAAGGCAGCAGUGGGGAAUAUUGCACAAUGGGGGAAACCCUGAUGCAGCGACGCCGCGUGAGUGAAGAAGUUAUUCGUAAUGUAAAGCUCUAUCAGCAGGGAAGAAAAUGACGGUACCUGACUAAGAAGCCCCGGCUAACUACGUGCCAGCAGCCGCGGUAAUACGUAGGGGGCAAGCGUUAUCCGGAUUUACUGGGUGUAAAGGGAGCGUAGACGGUCUAGCAAGUCUGAUGUGAAAGGCAGGGGCUCAACUCCUGGACUGCAUUGGAAACUGUUAGUCUUGAGUGUCGGAGAGGUAAGCGGAAUUCCUAGUGUAGCGGUGAAAUGCGUAGAUAUUAGGAGGAACACCAGUGGCGAAGGCGGCUUACUGGACUGUAACUGACGUUGAGGCUCGAAAGCGUGGGGAGCAAACAGGAUUAGAUACCCUGGUA
rnacentral:rRNA from 1 species